AGAACUUAGCAGAGAUGCUUUGGUGGCCUUCGGGAACGUCUGAGACAGGUGCUGCAUGGCUGUCGUCAGCUCGUGUUGUGAAAUGUUGGGUUAAGUCCCGCAACGAGCGCAACCCUUAUCCUUUGUUGCCAGCGGUCCGGCCGGGAACUCAAAGGAGACUGCCAGUGAUAAACUGGAGGAAGGUGGGGAUGACGUCAAGUCAUCAUGGCCCUUACGAGUAGGGCUACACACGUGCUACAAUGGCGCAUACAAAGAGAAGCGACCUCGCGAGAGCAAGCGGACCUCAUAAAGUGCGUCGUAGUCCGGAUUGGAGUCUGCAACUCGACUCCAUGAAGUCGGAAUCGCUAGUAAUCGUGGAUCAGAAUGCCACGGUGAAUACGUUCCCGGGCCUUGUACACACCGCCCGUCACACCAUGGGAGUGGGUUGCAAAAGAAGUAGGUAGCUUAACCUUCGGGAGGGCGCUUACCACUUUGUGAUUCAUGACUGGGGUGAAGUCGUAACAAGGUAAGCGUAGUGCU
rnacentral:rRNA from 1 species